UGUAAUUUGGAGAGGCAUCUUCUGGAGGGGCCCAGCCUAUGUGCCUUGGAACAGGACAUCAUAGAGGGUGAGAAUCCCGUACUUGGCUGGAUGUUCCCUCCUGUAUGUAGUGUCUUCUACGAGUCGAGUUGUUUGGGAAUGCAGCUCAAAAUGGGUGGUAAAUUUCAUCUAAAGCUAAAUAUUGGCGAGAGACCGAUAGCGCACAAGUAGAGUGAUCGAAAGAUGAAAAGCACUUUGAAAAUAGAGUCAAACAGUACGUGAAAUUGUUGAAAGGGAAGCGCUUAGGACCAGACUCAGCCUUUGGUGGACAUCCGCCCAUCGGGGCGGUGCACUUGUCAUUGGUUGGGCCAGCAUGGGUUGGGACGGUGGGAUAAAGGCUCGGGAAAUGUGACUCC
rnacentral:rRNA from 1 species